rnacentral:rRNA from 1 species
ACUCAAAUGAAUUGACGGGGGCCCGCACAAGCAGCGGAGCGUGUGGUUUAAUUCGAUGAUACGCGAAGAACCUCACCCAGGUUUGACAUGCAUGUGGUACCGAUCCGAAAGGUGAAGGACCCCUCGGGGAGCAUGCACAGGUGUUGCACGGCCGUCGUCAGCUCGUGCCGUGAGGUGUUGGGUUAAGUCCCGCAACGAGCGCAACCCCUAUCGCCAGUUGUAUUUUUCUGGCGAGACUGCCGAGAAAUCCUCGGAGGAAGGAGGGGACGAUGUCAGGUCAGCGUGGCCCUUACGCCUGGGGCUACACACACGCUACAAUGGGUGGUACAACGGGUCGCCAAGCCGCGAGGCGGAGCUAAUCCCAUCAAAGCCAUCCUCAGUUCGGAUUGCAGGCUGAAACCCGCCUGCAUGAAGCCGGAGUUGCUAGUAACCGCAGGUCAGCAUUACUGCGGUGAAUACGUUCCCGGGCCUUGCACACACCGCCCGU